GACUGCCCUCCUGGUUUGCCUGGGACUGAGCGGUUUCCUGGCUUUGCAGGACUUGCAGUGCUAAAACUGGG
rnacentral:miRNA from 1 species